CUUUGCUAAGAGGCUCACGCAAACUCGAAGGGCAACUGCCUAUGUGGUGAAUGGUUCUCUCCAAGUCGGCCUCGAUGUUCUGCUGCAAACUGCUCCACAGACAGGUGCAUUCAAAAUGCAAAGGAGACUCCUCUCUUAUUCAUCUACAAGGCACGUGUCAGGAGUGUGAUGGAAUUGUCUCCACUUGUCUGGUGAAGUACGGCUCAAACAACACUGGGAAAAACCACCCUGACCCUGUCCAGGACAAGUAGUCAACUUGUGUGGCACUCCAAGUACUAAUUUCAACAUUUACUCUCUCUCCAUCACACCAUCAGAGGCAGCAGUGUGUACUAUCUACAAGAUGCACUGCAGUAACUCACCAAUGCUUCUUUGACAGUACUUUUCAAACCUUUGACCUCUACCAGCUGGAACAAUAAAAGUAUCAGAAUGCAUUGGAGUGCCAGCACCUCCAAGUUCUCCUCCAAGACACACACCAUCCUAAUUGAUCAUUCUCUGUUGCUAGGUUAAAAUUAUUGAGAUCCCUUUCUAACAGUACUGUGGGUGUCGCUACAGUCCAAGGCAUUCAGCAGCUCAUGAUCACCAUUGGGGAAUGGGUGUUAAGUGCUGUCCUAACUAUUAAUAUACAUACCCUGUGAAAGAAUAAGAAAACAAUCCUGCCUCCUAUUCAUCCAAACAGACUGGAUAUACAGCAAGUCAGUUAUCAUCUGGAGAAAGAAAAAGAUGAGUUCAGAUGUUUUAUAUCUGUAGAUUUUGUCAAAAUAAUCCAUCAGCGUGCUUUUGACUGAAUGGACACACCUAAAAUGUUCUUGCCUGUGAACUCUUUUAGUUUUAACCUAGUAUCAUUGGUGAUCUGUGCCCAAUAGCAUAUGGCAAUCAGUAAAAUUCAAUAUAAUUGGAUUUUAAUGCAGCAUGUCGGUAUUUUCUGUGGAACCAAGCAAACUGUUUUAUACUGAAGUUAAUUUUCCUUUCAUGAAAUUAAUUCCAUCACAAAGAGAAUCAGCUACAGGAUAAAAUGCUGCCUGUGUGUGUACUUCCUACAAUCGUCAUGAAUCUUUCAUUCUUUUCAUGAAACUCUUCCACAACUGAGUUGUGAAUCAAUUGAAACUGGAAAAUAUUCUUGACUCUUGGUGAAAGGUGACAGUAGGUUCAUAGCUAUAUAACAGCCCACAAACAUGAUUCCCCUCACGGCUUUUCAGAAUUCACACAACUGGAACUGGUAUCAUGCCUGUUUAAUCACUUUGUGCUUUUGUCAUCCAUAAAACAAAUUAG